CAUCCCUCCUCUGCAGAAGCCCCUGAGAGCUCAGCUCCUCACCAUGGACUGGACCUGGAGGAUCCUCUUCCUGGUGGCAGCAGCUACAUGUGCCCUCUCCCAGGUCCAGCUGGUGCAGUCCGGAGCUGAGAUGAGGUCACCUGGGGCCUCUGUGAAGGUGUCCUGCAAGGCUUCUGGAUACACCUUCACCAGCUCCUAUAUGCACUGGGUGAGACAGGCCCCUGGACAAGGGCUGGAGUGGAUGGGACGUGUUGACCCUGAAGAUGGUUCCACAAGGUACUCGCAGAAGUUCCAGGGCCGAGUCACCAUGACUGCGACCACAUCCACAAACACAGCCUUCAUGGAGCUGAACAGUCUGAGACCUGAGGACACCGCUGUGUAUUACUGUGCUAGACACAGUGUGACAACUCACAUCCUGAGGCGGUCAGAAACCUUGAGGGAGAUGCAGCUGUGUUGGGCUGAGGCCGUGACAAGGACAAGGAAGACUGAGGCUCUCUUUGAUGUAGGAUUAUGA